UUUUAUGAUAAUGAUGGCAUAAUUUUUGUUAGUUAAGUGGCUGAAACAUAUCUUAAGGAUGGAGCUUUGGUUCUAUACUUUGCUGUACUAGGCUGAUAGCAUCUCAGGAUGUAUAGAAAGUCAUGAAGUACCAUUCUUGCAGACUGGAAUUUUCUUGCCGUGAUUCAGAAAUCCUGUUGGCUGAGAGCAUUUAACUGUUAAGUUGAUGUUCCUGAUAUCAGAACCAUUAAUUAUCUCAAAAAAAGAUAUCAGAACCUUUUUUGUUAUUUUUAUUUUUGAAAGAAAAUUAUAGAAGUGUAUUGAAGGUAGGUGCCAAGGGGGCACUGCCCAUAUACAAAUGGAAGCAAAAUCUACAAUGGAAUUUACAUGUCAGUAAGUAUAUCUACAAUGGAAGUAAAAUCUACGUUACUAUCAAUGUCAUGCCCUAGUGUAGUAGAGCCAAAACAGUGAAACGAAUUGUCUUUUAAGGUAUUGAAGUCUAAUUCUUUUCCAUCAAAAGCACACUUGUUUCUUUCCUUCCAAAUGACCCAAAAUAUAAUAUGAGGAAUGAGUUUGAAAGGCUUAUUUCUUUUGCUAAGACCUUUCCAAGCAAAUAAUUCACCAAAGAUUGUGUUGGUCAUGACCCAAGAUAACCCCAAUAAGCCAAGCACCAUUGCCCAAAGAUUGUGAAAGAUUGGGUACCACAGAAGAAGAUGAUUGCAUGAUUCCGGUCCCAUUUUACAAAGGUAGCAUCUGUUUGCAAUGGUUAGUCCUCUUUUCAUAAGAUUAUCCGGGUGAGAAUUUUUCUUUGGCAGCUUUCUAUGCGAAAAAAGAUAUUCUGGGAGGAGGAGCUCCAGAUUUCUAGAUGAUUUUAGCUGGGAAUUUCGUGUGGUUGCAGUUAAUCCGGCCAUCCAGAGAGUCAUAAAUCGAGCUGACAGUGAAAUGGCCAUUUUUCUUAUGUUUCCAGCGAAGCUCAUCUUCAUGAUGCUUAAGCUUAAUAUUACCAGGAUCGACAACAUCUUUAACAAAGGCACAUUUGAAGCUAGAGAUGGUGUAUAUUCGUGGAAAUCUAUCCUUGAGAGAAGCUGUUCGGCACCAAAUAUCUUUCCAAAAUUGGACUUUGCUACUAUUCCCAAUUAUCCAUUCAGAGCAAUUAAUAAUAGCCGCGCUGAUAUUCAUGAUGUUCCUCCAGAGACUUAUGCCAUAGCUGUAAUUUCUAAUAUGUGAAAAAUUCUUUUAAUCACCAUCAAACCAUUUGCAAAUGACCCUUUUCCAUAGACAUUCUUUUUCGUUCCAGUAUCUCCAAAUCCAUUUCCCAAGGAGUGCUUUGUUUAAUUUGACAAGAGUUCUCAAACCCAAACCGGCACUCCUCACUGGUUUUUUAACUUCAGUCUAGCAAGGUGAUAUUUUUCCUUUCAUUAUCAACAUCUCCCUAUAAGAAGUUGCACUGAAUGUUUUCUAAUUUUUUCGCAACCUUGGCCAGGAUAUUGAACACGGGAAGAUAAUAAAUUGGCAAGUUGGAGAGUGUGCUCUUGAUGAGAGUAAGCCUUCCCCUUUCAGAUAAAAAUUUCUUCUUCCAAGCGGGCAAUCUGUUUUGUACCACAUCUACAACAGGGUCCCAAUUCUUGCAGUCAUUGUGUUUAGCUCCCAACGGUACACCAAGGUAGGUGAUAGGCCAGGAUAUUGAACACGGGAAGAUAAUAAAUUAUCAAGUUGGAGAGUGUGCUCUUGAUGAGAGUAAGCCUUCCCCUUUCAGAUAAAAAUUUCUUCUUCCAAGUGGGCAAUCUGUUUUGUACCACAUCUACAACAGGGUCCCAAUUCUUGCAGUCAUUGUGUUUAGCUCCCAACGGUACACCAAGGUAGGUGAUAGGCAGUUGUGAAUUUCUGCAACCCAGAGCAAUAUUUAGGGAACCAACAUCAGCAUCACCAGCACCCAAAACAAGAAGCUCAGACUUAUGGAGGUUGAUUUUUAAACCAGAGACAGCUUGGAGACAAGAUAAAAUGCAUCUCAAAAGUGUAAGGCAACGAGUAUCCAGUUGGCAAAAGAUAAGGGUAUCAUCGGUGAAGAAUAAGUGAGAGAUCUCAAUCAUUCUGUUUCUGUUACCAACAGAGAUACCAUUAAGCAUUUGUAGCUCCUUUGCUUUCUCAAUAAGCUUGUGAAGAGCUUCCAUUACAA